rnacentral:rRNA from 1 species
UACGUAGGGUCCAAGCGUUAUCCGGAAUCACUGGGCGUAAAGCGUGCGUAGGUGGAUUGUUAAGUGCAAUGCGAAAUCCUGUGGCUCAACCAUAUGGACUGUAUUGCAUACUGGCAAUCUGGAGGACAUGAGAGGCAAGUGGAAUUACUGGUGUAGCAGUGAAAUGCGUAGAUAUCAGUAGGAACACCAAUGGCGAAGGCAGCUUGCUGGCAUGUAUCUGACGCUAAGGCACGAAAGCGUGGGGAGCGAACAGG